GAUGAACGCUGGCGGCGUGCCUAAUACAUGCAAGUCGAGCGAACAGAUGAGGAGCUUGCACCUCUGACGUUAGCGGCGGACGGGUGAGUAACACGUGGAUAACCUACCUAUAAGACUGGGAUAACUUCGGGAAACCGGAGCUAAUACCGGAUAAUAUAUUGAACCGCAUGGUUCAAUAGUGAAAGACGGUUUUGCUGUCACUUAUAGAUGGAUCCGCGCCGCAUUAGCUAGUUGGUAAGGUAACGGCUUACCAAGGCAACGAUGCGUAGCCGACCUGAGAGGGUGAUCGGCCACACUGGAACUGAGACACGGUCCAGACUCCUACGGGAGGCGGCAGUAGGGAAUCUUCCGCAAUGGGCGAAAGCCUGACGGAGCAACGCCGCGUGAGUGAUGAAGGUCUUCGGAUCGUAAAACUCUGUUAUUAGGGAAGAACAAAUGUGUAAGUAACUAUGCACGUCUUGACGGUACCUAAUCAGAAAGCCACGGCUAACUACGUG
rnacentral:rRNA from 1 species